rnacentral:rRNA from 1 species
UGAGGAAUAUUGGUCAAUGGGCGAGAGCCUGAACCAGCCAAGUCGCGUGAAGGAAGACUGCCCGCAAGGGUUGUAAACUUCUUUUGUAUGGGAUUAAAGUCACCUACGUGUAGGUGUUUGCAGUUACCAUACGAAUAAGCAUCGGCUAACUCCGUGCCAGCAGCCGCGGUAAUACGGAGGAUGCGAGCGUUAUCCGGAAUUAUUGGGCGUAAAGAGCUUGUAGGCGGUUCGUCGCGUCUGGUGUGAAAGCCCAUCGCUUAACGGUGGGUUUGCGCCGGGUACGGGCGGGCUAGAGUGCAGUAGGGGAGACUGGAAUUCCCGGUGUAACGGUGGAAUGUGUAGAUAUCGGGAAGAACACCAAUGGCGAAGGCAGGUCUCUGGGCUGUUACUGACGCUGAGAAGCGAAAGCGUGGGGAGCGAACAGG